rnacentral:lncRNA from 1 species
GGAUAAUAUAUGAAAAUAUUUCAACCGCAAAAGUUAACUUCAUCAAACCUGCUAAAUUGUGAUUACUCUCAUUUUACUAAAUAGUAUUUCUUGCACAUUGUUGCAUGAAUACAUGGUCUUAUCACAUGAUGCUUGACAGAUCCACAUCGCGAAAAUAAUUAUAGAAUAUCGAAGAACAAUAAUGCUACUACAUCAUGUAUUUAUAUUGUUUGACUAUUGUUACAUAUUAUUUUUGCAAAUUCUUGUACCAUGGGUUCAAUAUGCGGCUACAGAUGAUUUUUCAAUGACAUCAUUACAUACAAGGAGUCAUUAUGUUCUUUGCCAUAUCAAGAUUCUUUGAGCUUCUAUAUAUCCUAUCUAAAUUGGACCGAAUUGGGAGGAUUUUUAUCCUUGGUGUCUCUGCGUGCAAUCAUUUUGUUCAAAGAACUGCAUCAAAUACAUAUUAACGAACAGGGUGGUGUUGGCAAAAAUCAGGAGUUAGUAAGUAAUAGCAAACAGUAAGAAGAUUAUAAGCAAACCAAUUAUAUGAGAACUCAAAGAGAAAGAACGACCAGCCAAGUGUUACACAUCAAGGAUAAUUAACACUGGUGCAUAAUGCAUAUGGAUUUCAGAAGAGUUGCAGUGUUAUGGCUCUACAGAAACACAGCAAUACAGAUUUGAUAACAUUACAUGAACAAAAACUGUUAAAGAUUUUAUGUCACAGUUCAAAACAGAAACUAAAACAUCAAGUGGAGUGAAUAUUUCCUUGCAGAAACUGUUACGAACAAAGGCAGUAAUAAGGGCAAUAAGCAGCCAGUCAUGAGUUACAGAAUCAACCAUAAAGAGAGCCCAAAAGAUGCCAAUCAGGUAAUCAUCGUUUCAGUUACUAAAUAUCAGUAGUCAUAGGCAGCUUUAAUACAGUAUUCAGUAUGCAAUAAUCAGCAUGAGCAAGCAAUCAAUGAGCAGUUUCAUAACACAAGAGUCAUGGCUAUUGGUAACCCAAGAGAUCCGGCUAAUCAGCUAUAAAAGGCAUACAACCAUAACCAAAGGGGGGAAAAACAGAGAGCAUUCUAGAGAAAAAGGAUACAUAAAUCAGAGGGGAAAACAAAAACACACAGAGAUCAGAGAAAGAAGCUCAUACAUGUAAACAUAACAAUCAGAGAGGAGAGCACAUACAUAUCACGCAUACAUUGUGAAAUCAACAUACCACAACUAUACACAUCAUAUAACAACCAGAGAGCAAUCCCUAUACAUACACAUAAAAUACAGAGAGGAAGAAGAUAUCUAGAGUUUGCGGAUCUUACCCAAACACGCAGAGAAUAGAAAAUAUCUGGGGACAAGUAUUCAACAUGCCAAAGGGAUAAAAGGACAAAGCAUAAUCAGGUAAGUCAUCCCUUCAUAUUCAUUCAAGUACCAACAAACAGAAACGAGCCUUAUCCAUUGUGAAUCGUAUACCAUAUCCUCAUGCUUAUAUCAAUAGCCUAAGUUGAGGGUUGAAUCCACAACGAUUUAUCAUAUAUUCAGAGAACCUAAGGGGAACGAUUAUGGUAGUUCUAAUAUGAAUAAAAUCAUGCACUUUUACUAGCUUAGUACUAACAUUUCAUACAUAACAAGUCUGGAAAGAAAUAGUAUAACCCUUUGGGUUUUAACAUGUUUCUUACACAUCUAAUUAGAAGUCACACAAAGAACACAUACUUUUCAUUCAUUUGGUUUCAACAGAGAUGUAUAUAUUAACAUGAGAAUGCAGCACAACAAUGUUAAGACAUAGUGUUCAUUUCUGGAUAAUCUUUAGCCUAAAUCAAUUAUGCAUGACCAAUCAGUUUCGUACUGUAAAAUCAAAUAGCAAAAGGGGCAAGUUUCUUACCGAAACCCCUCGCUUAUGCGAUUCGGAACCACCGUGAGUCGUCGGGCGGGUAAAAAUCUGAAUCCGGGUCACCGGGAGGGUUGAAGUUUUCAUUGAUGAAUGCCAUCGCCAACCACCAUCAUCACCGCGCCGGAGAGGGAGAAGGCGAAAUUCAAAGAGGUUCCCUUUCAUCACCGCCAAUAAACGAAGUAGAAAAAGAGGAGAGGUUGCGGGAGAGAAGAACAAAAAUUGGGGGUUUACCCCUGGCCGUGACCCCUGGGGUGAUUAGGCGUAGCCCUUUGCGCCACCGUAGCGCCACCGUAGCGCCACCCCUGCCACCAUCGCGCCACCUCCUUGGCUACCGCGUGAGAAAGGAAGGAUUUUAGGGAUUUCCCCAAAUUGGCUUCGUGAAGAAUGGGAACCAUGGGAAUUAUCCCUUUUUUACAUGUGAGUUUUGGUUUAGUUUUUCUAGUUGUUUGAUU